rnacentral:rRNA from 1 species
GAUGAACGCUGGCGGCGUGCCUAAUACAUGCAAGUCGAGCGAACAGACGCGGCGCUUGCUCCUCUGACGUUAGCCGCGCACGUGUGUGUAACACGUGUAUCACCUCCCUAUCAGACUGGUAUCACUUCGGGAAAUCGGCUCUUAUCCCGUAUAAUAUCUUGCUCCGCAUUGUUCAUUAGUGAAAGUCGGUUUUUCUGUCACUUCUCGCUGGAUCCGCGCCGCAUUAGAUAGUUGUUAAGGUAACGGCUUACCAAGGCUACGAUGCGUAGCCGACCUGAGAGGGGGAUAGGCCACACGAGAACUGAGACGGGGACAAGACGCCUAAGAGAGGCAGCAGUAGGGAAUGGGACGCAAUGGGCGAAAGCCUGACGGAGCAAGGCGGCGUGAGUGAUGAAGGUCUUGGGAGCGGAAAAAUCUGUUAUUAGGGAAGAACAAAUGUGGAAGGAAAUAAGCACGUAGUGACGGUACCGGAUCAGAAAGCAACGGCUAACUACGUG